UGUCGAUGAUGAUUACUGUGAAGAUUUCUCAAUGUAAUCACUAAUGAUUGCAUAACCUACUGCUUUCCUUCUGAGGCA